UACAGAGGUGGCAAGCGUUGCUCGGAAUUACUGGGCGUAAAGGGCGCGUAGGCGGAAUGGCAAGUCGGUCGUGAAAUCCUUCGGCUCAACCGAAGAACGUCGAUCGAAACUGCCGUUCUUGAGGAUUGCAGAGGAGACUGGAAUUCCCGGUGUAGCGGUGAAAUGUGUAGAGAUCGGGAGGAAGGCCGGUGGCGAAGGCGGCGCUCUGGAACAUUUCUGACGCUGAGGCUCGAAAGCGUGGGGAGCAAACAGG
rnacentral:rRNA from 1 species